rnacentral:rRNA from 1 species
UACGAAGGGGGCUAGCGUUGCUCGGAAUCACUGGGCGUAAAGCGCACGUAGGCGGCUUUUUAAGUCAGAGGUGAAAUCCUGGAGCUCAACUCCAGAACUGCCUUUGAUACUGAGAGGCUUGAGUCCGGGAGAGGUGAGUGGAACUGCGAGUGUAGAGGUGAAAUUCGUAGAUAUUCGCAAGAACACCAGUGGCGAAGGCGGCUCACCUGGCCCGGUACUGACGCUGAGGUGCGAAAGCGUGGGGAGCAAACAGGG